GACAUGGCCAAUGAAGAGGCAAAAAAAAAAAAAAAAAAAAAAAAAAAAAAAACCAGCAGGACAGAUUCCAUCUUAUCCUCCAAACUCUAUUUUAAGUUUCUGUUUGGAGAAUGUACUGUCUAGAAAGCUACGGUCUGUUGUCCUUGAAGUGAUAUGGCCCCCACCCUUUGACUCUGGGAAGGAGACCAGCAUCCCUUUACCUUCUCAUUAAUGCCAAGGCUUAGAAACCCCCACUUGCAUUCUUUUUCCUUUAUAAACCUCCUUCACCUGGAGCUGGGGGGUCACUCUCCUUCCUGUUCCAUCAGGAAGGUUUGUAGCCUAAGCUUGAGCUUGAAUAAAGACUGUCCUGUUCUUGCAUCCAAGUUGUGGUCCCUGGGCAUGACAGUUUGUUAUUAUUUUGCUUGAAAAAAAAAAAGUAAAGCUAAUUGUGGUGAGUUUGCCAGCAGGUGCCUCAGCCAUCUUCAGUUAACUAUCUUUCCUCUGUUCAUAUCAAGAGGCCCUGUGCAAUCUCUGACCGCCUCCACUUAGGUUUCAGAAGUAUACUCCAUGACAUUCAUACAAUGAAGAAAAGAAAAACUUGUUAGCAGUUGUUCUGAUCUUUAGUGAUGCAUGCCAACAGUUCACUGGAGUUCUACAUAGACUAGUGAGAAAUGCAAGAAGCCAUAGACUAGCAUUGAGGGCAUCAUUAAGAGUUUUACAAUAAAUAUUGCUUCUUCAGUUCUUUCUCAUCACACUAAUCCUCACACACCCAUUAUUACCACAACCUCUUACCCGAGAACCGGGCAAGCACAGCCAUGUCUCAUUCCAGGGAUACCUGAGGCUUGUUAAUAUCUCGGAGUGGCUACUAAUAGGUUCAUACCAAGGAAAGCAUUUCAGAAAUUGCUGAGAACCUACCAUUAAAAAGACACAAAGUGCUAUGAUACAGUCGACAAUGUUUAAUCAUCCCUCGCGACAUGCAUUUAUACCUGCAUAAUUUGGCUCACUGAUACAUAUGUAAGCAAGUUGAGAGAUUGUUGCUGCAGACAGGGCAAAAUGAAGUGCAUCUGGUCACGCUUGCUUGUAUCUGCCUUAGAGAUGGACUCUGGUCGGGACAGCUUAAGUCAAUCCUAAAAGUGACCCCAUCUACUGCCUUUCACAUAUUAAAGGGAAGGAAUUUUUUUGCCUCAAGAUCUCUCUAGACUCUAAGAGACAUCACAAUUUGAGAUCCUUAUUUCAGUGAGGAUUUAGACAAAGCAUAAAAUAAUUUAUGCAUAUUAUUCUGGAAUUAGAACUGUAACUAUUAAAUAAAUAUUUAAUGGUAUUACCCAAUUAUUACUUUUGUGGAGCUGUGGAGUCAGUUGAGUAGUAGUACUUGGUUAGCAUGUAUAUUGUGCUGACUUCCAUUCCAAGGCCUGUUUAAAAAAAAAAACACACAAAACGAAAAAUAGAAACAUUGCUACCUACUGAGGUGUGAAAAUCAACUGUGGUUACUUUUUUAAAGAUUUAUUUAUUUAUUUAUUAUAUGUAAGUACACUGUAGCUGUCCUCAGAUACUCCAGAAGAGGGCAUCAGAUUUCGUUACGGAUGGUUGUGAGCCACCAUGUGGUUGCUGGGAUUUGAACUCGGGACUUUCGGAAGAGCAGUCGGCGCUCUUAACCAUUGAGCCAUCUCGCCAGCCCAACUGUGGUUAUUUACAACAUCAUAGCAAUGUUUUACAGAGGAGCAUUGGUGGAAUUAAACAUAACAUAUAUGUGCUAUAUAUUGUGUAGCCAUAGAAAAGAGUGCAGUACUGAUACAUGCUCCAGCAGUGGUGGAUCUUGAAGACAUUAUGCUAAGUGAAAGAAGCUAGAACAGUCAUGUAUUAUAUCCUGUUUCUAUGAAAUGUCAGAAAAAAAGAAGUCCAUGGAGAGUGCUGGAAACAAAACAUAACUACUGAACUUACAGAUGGCCGAGAAGCUGUUCUAGAACUAGAUAGGAAUGAAUGACAGUUCACCAACAGCGGAAAUGUGCUAAAUACCACUCUGUCAUCAUCGCUCAAAUGUGCUCAAUGUUUUGUGAAUUUUACCUUUAAAUAAACUCCCAGAAAGAAAAGAUUAAGGUAUGAAGAUCUAAAAUAUGGCUC
rnacentral:lncRNA from 1 species